GGAGUAUCUCCAAGUCUUCCUACACGCUUUUCCUCUGUAAACCGUCCGGUCUCCUAUUUCUCCAAGUUCUUCUGAUGGAUGUUCACUUUAGUUAGAUCCGGCCGGGUACUUGUUAACGGCACUCAACGGUAGGUUGGCGCUCAACGGUGAGUGUGAUACUCAAAUUCUACCCUUAGCGUUGGCGCUUAAGCGUUUGACAGAGAAUCCUCCUACGGAACUAGCGCUCAGCGUUAUGUCAGCGUUGAGCGGUGGCUGCAUUUCUCUUUUGUUCACACCUUUUCUUGAGUCCUACUUCUUCCUAGUUCAACUUCCUUCAUUCAAUUCCUGAUAAACCUGCCAAAUCAUGGGAAAACCAAGCAUAAAACCAAGAAAACCACCUUCGACUCUCU
rnacentral:lncRNA from 1 species